AAAUCUCCACCCUCCAUUCUACAAAAUGGCAUGCCGUAAAUACCUAAUCUAUCCAAGGGCUAUCCUAAAUGAAAUUUUGGUAAAAUUUUGAUUCGAUUUUCCAAAUUUGAAACGUAGAUUGUGGAAACCCUAGCCCCAUACCUCACGCUCCCCGUUCUCCCUCAGACUCCGUCUCCCUCUCUCGACUCUUUCUCUCUUCGAUCGCUCUUCUAGCACCACCGACCGGUGCGACGAGUCACCACCGGAACUACCACCAUUCGAGGCUCUCAGGGCUCUCUCUAUCUGUAUCUUCCAUCGCUUCCCCUGCCUCAUCUACCACCAUGUAUUCAUGUAAGCCAAAAUCUCCCUUCGAUCCACCACCACCAACCCAACACCAGCUGGCACCGUAUCGCCUCUCCAUCAGCGGCACCAGUCCUCUCCAUCACCGCACCACCUCUCCAGCCAAAAUUUGGUCUCCACAGAGUUAGAUUGGGGAUUGAUGUAUGGAGUUGUUUACAGGCGAAGUUGACCUAUCUAGGGAUGUUAUUUUCCAGAAUCUUCGGCAGAAUCGGCCCCUCACUUUAAACCAAUUUUACCAAAAUCUUAUGAAUUUGAGGUACACAAAGACCAUUCCUUUUUCCCUCAUAGUUAUCAUUCCAAGUUGGCUGACAUUGAGAUUUAGUCUAUCCAUAUUGGUUCUUGGUUUAUUUCAUAUAUUGUUCACAUCGCAAUUUAGGUCUUUUUGUUAGGUUUUUGGAUUAGCAGUGCUUAGACGGGUAGAGAAGAGACAUAUCUUUGUAUCGUAACCUUAUCUCUAAUCUAAAUAGAUAUAUACACACACAUACUGAGAAUUACACUGAUGCUUGCUCGCUUGCAGAAUUACAAAAGUUUACCCCUAACUGAAAUCUAUUCUAAUUCCAUGUGAUUCUAAUAUAUAUAGCUUACCUCUAAUGGAAUUUACUCUUUAAGUGAUUCUCCUUUCCAUGUCUAAAUUUCUUAGGACCUUAUGGCCUUACCAAAGUAGAAAUGUGCAGAAGGCCCAUGGCAAUUAUCAGUAAGGAGUGCACGCGCGCACACACACAAACCCAGUGAUUGUUUGCAUGAUUCAAUAUCGGAAUUGGUUGUCGGAUGAAAUAUGCUGCUCAUUAACUCAUCUUUGCCCAUGUAAACUCUAUUUCAAGUUGUCAAUGUGGUUUAUGGGAAAAGAUUUUGGGUCUUUUUUCGAUUAUUUUCUGAAGUCCAUCUUUUUACUAAUGGCUCCUUCAUUAAGUCUCCCAUUGCACAUGAUUCUCCCGCGAUCAAUUCUAUGGAUUUUGUUUUGGGGGCUCUUUGUUAAAAGUUGAUUUUUACCUUAAAAGUUGUAAAAUAACACCGCAACUGAUUUAUUUCCAUAUGUAUGUUUCGCUAGUUUGUUUCAUGUUUGAACCAAAAGCUGUUUUAGUGGUGAGAUCAGAUUUCCACUACUACUAUAUAAUUAGAGCAAUAUGAUCAACUUCUUUUGUUUGUGAUUUCUGAGUUAUAUGUUUAGAUAAAAUUCAAUGGUUGCAUCGAUGCCUUAGAGGUAAAGGAAAAUCUAUGUGUAUAAUUUAUGGGGCUUAGAGGUUAAUGCUAUUUUGAAUACAAUAGACCAGUGCAUUUUAGUUAUCCAAUAGAGCUACUCUUUACUUUUCUCUUUU